rnacentral:rRNA from 1 species
AUGGCCGCCAUCGGCGCGGCCGUCUCCGUCCCGGACGCAGCGCCCGACCUCCACCUCGUCGCGCACCAGUACGAACAGCUCCUCCACCUGUUGCCUCCGCGGACGCACGCCGCGUUGCCCGUCCACCCGGCGGUCGUCGCGCGUUGCGUGUUCGCCCACAUGCUGGAGGCCGAGGCGCCCCCGUCCGAGGCCACCAUCACCUCGCUCGGUCGCGUCGUCGCCGCAGACGUCGAGGGCGCUGAUGACGCCUUUAGGCUCGUCUCCACCAUGCGGCAGAAGUACGGCAUCGCGCUGCGCCUCCGAUCCUACAGCCCCGUGCUUGCCGUAAUCCGGCGUCUGGCAAGGCCUACGCGGUCGAGGCCCUCAUGGCGGCCUCCGCUGUAUCGCCGGAAGAGCCCGAGCUCGCCGUGCUCCUUGAGGUCAGCACAAAGGUCAGGGACGCAGACAAGGUGUAUGAGUAUAUGCACAAGCUGCGGCGAGCUGUCGGCUGUGUGA